rnacentral:lncRNA from 1 species
GUCGUCAAAAACACACACACAAUAAUAGCAUAUGUCAUUUUCGUGAAAAUAAAAAGGAAAAAUUAAUGUACUGGACACAGAUAACAUGAGUAAUUCAAUCUGAACUGAUAUAAAUAAAAGAGGAGACGCGUAUGGAGAUUUGAUUAAGUUCACGAAAAAGCGGUAGAAAAGAGGAAUGGUUUGGCUUGCUUGUGAACUCUGGAGCUUAUCCUACUCUUUAACGGUUCAAAAGAUAGAGAGGUGAUACACGUGUGUUUCACAUUACUACUUUUCUCUAUUCUAUGGCUCCUCUCAUUCUUACAUUUAAGAAAAAAAUAAAAAAACAAAUAUAUAAAUAGUAUUUAUUACAAAAACAAGAUAUGAUUUGGAAUACUCAAUAAUUUAUCAUUUGACUAAUUCUCAUUUUCUGUAGUUAAUUGAACUCAAUCCCAAUUUUGAAUUUGGUUUUGAUAGAAAACUAUAUUUGAAUAGGUCUCCAAACUUAAAAUAAGCAC